UCAGAUACGUAUCAGAUUUAGGACCACAUAUGGAAUGGGUCUGGGUCAGAUGAGUGCUGUUCAGACUGUCUGUAACAGAUCAGAUCCAGGUCACAAAUGGACACAAAAAUCAGAUAUGGGCCCCAUUUGGUUGCAGUGUGAACGGAGCCUAUGAG